rnacentral:lncRNA from 1 species
CAGAGAGGCUGCGGCUGCCCGCAGGAGAGCGUCUAGUGCGGCUUCACACCAGGUUAUCUGCGCUCUGCGGAGCUCCGGAGGGAACCAACCACCAGCUUUAUGGAGACUUACCACUGCGGAUUGUUCAUAGGAUUGACUGGAUUUAAAAAAAAAAACAAAAAAAAAAACUACAUUUUAAAUGGCUUUCUAUUUUAACGCAUUAAGUGGAAUACCUGCUGACAUGUCCAUCCCUCUCACACACGUGGAUAAGUUUGUUCUUGCUCACAGUAGCAUCAGAUGAUGGCUUCAUAUAUACAUAUAUAAAAGCUGUUUUUGGAUGUUGUUGCUGGACCAGUUCACUGAGGGACUGGAUUCUCCUGGGAUACUGGGGGAUACACGUGCAUGUGUACUGGAUGCCAUUGGGUGCCUGAGGAGUUGGAAAUGGAUCUGGAUCAAUAAUGUGGAUAACCAUGGAUAUGGAUAACAUGGAUGGAUGAUGUACCCGCUGAUGUUGGAUCAUUUCAUUGGACAAACAGCGUAGGAAUCCAAACCCUUAGACCCAGAUGCCAAGCCGAAAAACGCUUCCCAGGAUCACUCUGUGACUGCUGUGAAGCCAUCACCACCCUGAAUCGGACAGAAGUCUCCGCUAUGAAAAAAAAAGUCAACGGGAGCGCAUCGCUCCGCUCUUUUAACAUGCUCAGGCUGAAUAAACAAAACAAGCGCAUGCACACAUAAAAACACACACAUACAAACAAACACACACACGCGCAGCAAAAGCUGCCCCC